CGGAAUUAUUGGGCGUAAGCGCGCGCAGGUGGUUUCUUAAGUCUGAUGUGAAAGCCCACGGCUCAACCGUGGAGGGUCAUUGGAAACUGGGAGACUUGAGUGCAGAAGAGGAAAGUGGAAUUCCAUGUGUAGCGGUGAAAUGCGUAGAGAUAUGGAGGAACACCAGUGGCGAAGGCGACUUUCUGGUCUGUAACUGACACUGAGGCGCGAAAGCGUGGGGA
rnacentral:rRNA from 1 species